ACAGAUCAUAAACCGUUAUGCUUCGCCUA
rnacentral:sRNA from 1 species